rnacentral:rRNA from 1 species
CAUGUAGGCGGUUUGUUAAGUCGGAUGUGAAAGCCCCGGGCUCAACCUGGGAACUGCAUUCGAUACUGUCAGACUAGAGUAUAGAAGAGGCAAGUGGAAUUCCGGGUGUAGCGGUGAAAUGCGUAGAUAUCCGGAGGAACAUCAGUGGCGAAGGCGACUUGCUGGUCUAAUACUGACGCUGAGGUGCGAAAGCGUGGGGAGCAAACG